ensembl:lncRNA
UAAUAAGUAACGUCUAUGUCAUCUGCAUCAUAGCUGCCUGCACCAUGCAGUAAGAGAGGACAGAUAAAUAAGUUAGGAUUUCUAACACUAACUUGAAGUGUCUUCUAAAUUCAGAGACUUCUCAAAUAUAAGAAUGGUACAAAAGCGGGUAGGCAGAUGAAUAGAAGGAUAAAUAGCUGUCUGGAUAUCUACCGUAAAUAUUUUAAUUAGAUAACAUACAACAUAAUAAAGCAGAAGAGAGGAGGAAGAGGAAAUUAGUAAAAUAAAAUCUGAAAUUAUUAUUAUUAUUUUUUGGUUUUUUGAGGAAGAUUAGCCCUGAGCUAAUUGCUGCCAAUCCUUCUCUUCUUGCUGAGGAAGACUGGCCCUGAGCUAACAUCCAUGCCCAUCUUCCUCUACUUUAUACGUGGGACGCCUGCCACAGGAUGGCUUGCUUAGCGGUGCCAUGUCCGCACCAGAGAUCUGAACUGGCGAACCCCGGGCUGCCAAAGUGGAACGUGCACACUUAACCUCUGCACCACCAGGCCUGCCCCAAAUCUGAAAUUAUUAAACUGCAAAAGUAAAAAUACUAACAAGCAUUUGGAUGCAGAAGCUGAGUAAUGUCACAAGCAGCCAACCAGCCAAGUCAUCACCUACAUCAAGGAGUUGAGAGAAUCUCAGCAAUGUGGAGUCUCUUAAGAACCCACCAACCCCCCACUGAAGAAAGUUCUAGCAAAUCGUGCAUCUGUCACAAUUGUUAUUAAAUUGUCCCUGAUGACAAAGUACAACCAUAAGUAAAUUUGUGUUCUCCUCCCUCACAUCCUGCGUCUUUCAGUCUCAAGUAGGAGCUGAUGAGCAGGGGAAGUGAGAGAGUGAAAAACAGAGACGGUACCCACACUUUCCUUCUCUAUCACAGCAUCCUACUUAAGGGAAGUUCACGCUGAGAGUGGAGAAAAUCUUUAAACUGGAUGAGAAUUUAGAUUUCUGAUUCACUCUCCCUUUCAACAAAUACGUAUUGAGCGGGAGUCUACAAUGUCCUUGCCACUGUUUUAGGUUCAAGGAAUAAAUUGGUAAACACACCCACACACGCAGAAAAAGAAAAGAACAAAGUCCUUGCCUUCAAGGGACUUACUAGGGAAGGCAGACAGAAAAUAGACAAACUCAGUGUUAUCCCUUAGAAGGCAGAAAAAGACAGCAGGAAGGAGAAUCUGGAAUGCUAGAGUGGAAGUGAGGUCUGAAUUUGUCAAUAAGAUGGUCAAGGAAGAUGAGAUUUGAGCAAAGACUUGAUGGAUGUGACACCUGCCCUGACUAGACUUUCUAGUACCUAAGAAAAAAAAGAUUUUAUCAUCUGAGAAUGAUUGGGAAAGCUAUGGAAGUUACACAAAUUUUAAUCUAGAGGCAGGAAAGGAUAUUCCACAGAGUGAAUUUAGUAGAGACUGGCAAGAGAGAAUAAAGUAUCCUAUUCAGUUCAAACUGACUCACUUGAAUGAAGUGACUAUAUAUAAUUUAAGGACAAGAGCUUCUAGAACCAGAGUUUGCAACUGCCAACAUCCUAAAUACUUAAAAUGCACUUGUUCAAUGUUCCAUUUGCACUCAGAAAAAAAUAUCUCUACUUGCAGGGUCCUAUCUAAGUGCCUGUGUAGCUUCCUGUACAGCUCUUUGCACAAUUGGACUCUUAUAAUACAAGAAUGGUUCCACAAUUUGCAGGAGGGAAACAAGGCUAUUAUUUGAGUUAAGAGUGUAGCUCAUCUCUGGGUUUUGUAGAUAAGAGUGCACUUUUCAGGUGGAUGCCUAGAGGACUGGUUUUCUAUAAAUUCAUUGUGUUCCUAAAGGUCAGAGUUUUGUCUCUUGCUUCCUUGAGAUACAGCAUUAGUAUCACAAGACAGGCCCCCACUUUAUAUUCAUAAUUCAUCAGCUCAUGGAAUGAUUUAAAAAGAGAACUGCUCUGUUGCACUUGGCAUUUUGUCAAUACAAAAUAUUAACAUGCUCACAAUUAUAAACAAAGGAUAUAAUGCUACUUUUCCCAACUUUGGGAUCUAAUUCAUGUCUC